UCUAUUAUGGCAGAUUAAUGCAAUGGAUUUAAGACCCAUUAAUAAAGAUAUUUUAUCUUUUUUUAGAA
rnacentral:tRNA from 2 species